rnacentral:misc_RNA from 1 species
AAGUCGUAACAAGGUUUCCGUAGGUGAACCUGCGGAAGGAUCAUUAUUGAAUUUAAUGUAGAGUUGGUUGUAGCUGGCCUAAUUAAUAAUUUGGGCAUGUGCACACCUUCUCUUUCAUCCACACACACCUGUGCACCUGUGAGACAGAGUGGGAAUUUUAAUUUAAUUUAAUUGGACCCUCUGUCUACUUAAUUCACACAAACUCUAUUUAUUAUAAAAUGAAUGUAAUUGAUGUAACGCAUCUAAUACUAAGUUUCAACAACGGAUCUCUUGGCUCCA